rnacentral:tRNA from 1 species
GCCGGGGUAGCCAAGUGGCAAAGGCGCGGGCCCACCGAGUCUGUGGAUGGAUAUCCUUUACAAUUAGGGGUUCGAUUCCCUUCCCCGGCA